rnacentral:rRNA from 2 species
CUGCGGCCUAUCAGUUUGUUGGUGAGGUAAUGGCCCACCAAGACUAUUACAGGUACGGGCUCUGAGAGGAGUGGCCCGGAGAUGGGUACUGAGACACGGACCCAGGCCCUAUGGGGCGCAGCAGGCGAGAAAACUUUGCAAUGUGCGAAAGCACGACAAGGUUAAUCCGAGUGGUUUCUGCUAAAGGAACCUUUUGUCGGUCCUAGAAACACCGAUGAAUAAGGGGUGGGCAAGUUCUGGUGUCAGCCGCCGCGGUAAAACCAGCACCUCAAGUGGUCAGGAUGAUUAUUGGGCCUAAAGCAUCCGUAGCCGGCUCUGUAAGUUUUCGGUUAAAUCUGUACGCUUAACGUACAGGCUGCCGGGAAUACUGCAGAGCUAGGUAGUGGGAGAGGUAGACGGUACUCGGUAGGAAGGGGUAAAAUCCUUUGAUCUAUUGAUGACCACCUGUGGCGAAGGCGGUCUACCAGAACACGU